rnacentral:rRNA from 1 species
CCUACGGGUGGCAGCAGUGGGGAAUAUUGCACAAUGGGCGCAAGCCUGAUGCAGCCAUGCCGCGUGUAUGAAGAAGGCCUUCGGGUUGUAAAGUACUUUCAGCGAGGAGGAAGGCGUUAAGGUUAAUAACCUUAGCGAUUGACGUUACUCGCAGAAGAAGCACCGGCUAACUCCGUGCCAGCAGCCGCGGUAAUACGGAGGGUGCAAGCGUUAAUCGGAAUUACUGGGCGUAAAGCGCACGCAGGCGGUCUGUUAAGUCAGAUGUGAAAUCCCCGGGCUCAACCUGGGAACUGCAUUUGAAACUGGCAGGCUUGAGUCUUGUAGAGGGGGGUAGAAUUCCAGGUGUAGCGGUGAAAUGCGUAGAGAUCUGGAGGAAUACCGGUGGUGAAGGCGGCCCCCUGGAGAAAGACUGACGCUCAGGUGCGAAAGCGUGGGGAGCAAACAGGAUUAGAUACCCGCGUAGUC